UACGGAGGGUGCAAGCGUUAUCCGGAUUCACUGGGCUUAAAGGGUGCGUAGGUGGGCAGUUAAGUCAGUGGUGAAAUCUCCGGGCUCAACCCGGAAACUGCCAUUGAUACUAUCUAUCUUGAAUAUCGUGGAGGUAAGCGGAAUAUGUCAUGUAGCGGUGAAAUGCUUAGAUAUGACAUAGAACACCAAUUGCGAAGGCAGCUUACUACCCGAAUAUUGACACUGAGGCACGAAAGCGUGGGGAGCAAACAGG
rnacentral:rRNA from 1 species